CCUACGGGAGGCAGCAGUGGGGACUAUUGCACAAUGGGCGAAAGCCUGAUGCAGCCAUGCCGCGUGUGUGAAGAAGGCCCUAGGGUUGUAAAGCACUUUCAGUGGGGAGGAAAGGUUGAAGGUUAAUACCCUUUGGCUGUGACGUUACCCACAGAAGAAGCACCGGCUAACUCCGUGCCAGCAGCCGCGGUAAU
rnacentral:rRNA from 1 species